rnacentral:rRNA from 1 species
CCUACGGGUGGCAGCAGUGAGGAAUAUUGGUCAAUGGGCGCGAGCCUGAACCAGCCAAGUCGCGUGAAGGAUGACUGCUCUAUGGGUUGUAAACUGCUUUUAUACGGGAAGAAACAGCGUUACGUGUAGGGGGUUGCAUGUACCGAAUGAAUAAGCAUCGGCUAACUCCGUGCCAGCAGCCGCGGUAAUACGGAGGAUGCGAGCGUUAUCCGGAUUUAUUGGGUUUAAAGGGUGCGUAGGCGGUUUGGUAAGUUAGUGGUGAAAUGUCGGGGCGCAACCCCGAAAUUGCCUUUAAAACUGUCGGACUCGAGUACAGUUGAGGUAGGCGGAAUGUGUCGUGUAGCGGUGAAAUGCUUAGAGAUCACGCAGAACUCCGAUUGCGAAGGCAGCUUACCAGACUGUAUCUGACGUUGAGGCACGAAAGCGUGGGUAGCAAACAGGAUUAGAUACCCCGGUAGUC